CCACGGCCCUAUCGAAGCUGCGUCUGUCUUGCUUGUGUAGCUGGCGCGGUCAAAAAGGAGCCAAGAGUGAUUUUGUUUUCCUUGACGGUCGCUGUCCAGUUUGUUCCUUUUAUAACUGUCCAGCAACAUUUCAGGAAAGUACAUGU
rnacentral:snoRNA from 1 species